GUAUAAAUACAACGGUGCUCUAGAAGCACACAUCAUCGCUUAAGCUUCAGAAUUUCAGCUCCUCUGACUCUUCGGUCUCAUCUUGGGUAAAAGGACGCUGCCAAAUAUGAAGAUCUUUAUCUUUGCCCUCAUUAUGGCUCUCAUGGUUACCAUGAUCAGUGCUGCCUCAUUUGAGCAGUCUUUCGCAGAUCCGGCACAGUAUUCAUCAUUUGCUGGAGGUAAUCCAUCAGGUGCAUUUCCAGUUCCUUUUGGCCCUGCUAAGUAACCACAGGACCUGACAGAGGCUUGGCGGGAAGUCCUACUUGCUCUUUCUCCUGAUGAAUCUUCCUACUCAAAACUUCUUUUACCUACCUACUAACACUUUUUUAGCUUUCUAUAUAAUAAAUACUUCCAAAGUACUUUGAAAAGCAUGUUUUAAAACAAUUCAAAGGAGUGCAGUAUUAUUGGUAUUAUGUUCUGCAUUACAUUGGCAUUUUCAAAUAAUUUGACCGAUCAAAAACUUCCAGCUUUUCAAAAAUGAAAAAGAAAAUCCAAUCAAAUAGUGUUACAUGAAUGACACACUUGAAAUCAAUGAUCAAUAGUGCUAAACAAUAGUACUGAUAUUCUCUGAACUAUUUGAUUUUUCCUUCUUUGUUCUUUCUGUUAACAGCAAUAUAAAAAUUUAAAAAAAUAGUUGCAUAAUAAACUGAUCUAUCAAGCAUA